AUACUUUUUUGAUGUGUCCGGAAAUGACUUUUUUGUUUAUAGAUAUUAUAUAGAUCAUUGGAAUGGAAAUCCUUUGAUAUGCAUGCUGUUGUGUCUGCCAUCGAAGAUCUUUUUUAAUUCAUAUUGUCUGAUAAGGGUUUGAGGGUACGUGUUUUCCUGGUCCGGGACAUAAUUAAAGCAAUUGAUAUUUUUCUUCAGGAUGAAGUAGUUGCAAACAUUUUCGAUGAGAAGGUUCAAGCUAGAGAGACAGCUGAAUCUGAGGGACAUGCAAUGCUGAUGAGAGUGGUUAAUGGGCUUAAAUCUUUCCGGCAUGCAGUGAAGUUGGCCCCGGAGGUGUGGACUGCUAUGCUAAUCCGCAUGACAGUGAAACCCGAGGCUCACAAAUUUACAUUUGACAUCAUUUCAGCCUUAUUGAUACAUUUUAGCCGAAAAAUUCCAGAGACCUUUUGGAUUUGUAUAUCUAGAAUUCUUCACAAGUUGGUGAAAAAU